GGGAUUUUGAACUUAAUUAGAUAACCCUGAAAGUUUAAAGCUAAAAUGAGCUAAACUCCGAUGCCACAUUUCAACAGAUGGUUGAGUACUGAACAGUAGCUCCAAGGGUAUCCUGAGAUUGGCCCGUUGAGAUAAGCGGUGCCGCAGUGGGAUUAGUUUUCUAUGGAAUAUUUCUCCCAAUACAAGGCUGACAGCUAACAAGAGGUUGCGAUAUGGGCUGGCCAAGCUGCUAAAAUCCAUUUGUCCUUUGCUUCUGCUGCAGAUUGGCCCACUAGCGACAGAUGGUUCCGAGGGCAGGGUGAGCCAUCUCUUACAUUGGCCAACCCCACCCUUCCCCCUCCACUUCCAAACAACUGCGCUCUUCUCUUCGCUUCAAGGGACCACAGACCAGACCCAGUUGAACAAAUUGACAAUGGAAGAAGAAGCAAAGCCCAAACAAGUUCGAGUGGCUUCUCAGAAUAAAAUCUCG
rnacentral:misc_RNA from 1 species